GACGAACGCUGGCGGCGUGCUUAACACAUGCAAGUCGAACGAUGAAGCCGGAGCUUGCUCCAGUUGAUUAGUGGCGAACGGGUGAGUAACACGUGAGCAAUCUGCCCUUGACUCUGGGAUAACUGCGGGAAACUGUAGCUAAUACCGGAUACUUUCACAGGAAGGCAUCUUCUGGUGAUGAAAGAAUUUCGGUCAGGGAUGAGCUCGCGGCCUAUCAGCUUGUUGGUGGGGUGAUGGCCUACCAAGGCGACGACGGGUAGCCGGCCUGAGAGGGUGACCGGCCACACUGGGACUGAGAUACGGCCCAGACUCCUACGGGAGGCAGCAGUGGGGAAUAUUGCACAAUGGGCGCAAGCCUGAUGCAGCGACGCCGCGUGAGGGAUGACGGCCUUCGGGUUGUAAACCUCUUUCAGCACCGACGAAGCGCAAGUGACGGUAGGUGCAGAAGAAGGACCGGCCAACUACGUGCCAGCCGCCGCGGUAA
rnacentral:rRNA from 1 species